UACCAUAUUCGGGCAGGGAACAGCAUGAUUCCGCAACCCUGUGAAGAAUUUGGAAGAAUUGUUGCGCCGCACUUGCAAGCCUCCCGGAAUUGGCUAAAGUGUAGGCAUGAUCUCAAGAUGCUUAGAAAUUAAGCGACGAGCUCUCCGCAACGAGGCGGGGUUCGGCAAAAAGCGAAAAGAACAGUGAUCGGUAUGGCUCCCGGA
rnacentral:misc_RNA from 1 species